rnacentral:rRNA from 1 species
AGAGUUUGAUCCUGGCUCAGGAUGAACGCUGGCGGUAUGCUUAACACAUGCAAGUCGAACGGACUCUUCGGAGUUAGUGGCGGACGGGUGAGUAACGCGUGAGAAUCUGGCUUCAGGUUCGGGACAACAGUUGGAAACGGCUGCUAAUACCGGAUGUGCCUUAUGGUGAAAGAUUUAUCACCUGAAGAUGAGCUCGCGUCUGAUUAGCUAGUUGGUGUGGUAAGAGCGCACCAAGGCAACGAUCAGUAGCUGGUCUGAGAGGACGACCAGCCACACUGGGACUGAGACACGGCCCAGACUCCUACGGGAGGCAGCAGUGAGGAAUCUUCCGCAAUGGGCGAAAGCCUGACGGAGCAAUACCGCGUGAGGGAGGAAGGUUCUUGGAUUGUAAACCUCUUUUCUCAGAGAAGAAUAAUGACGGUAUCUGAGGAAUAAGCAUCGGCUACUCCGUGCCAGCAGCCGCGGUAAUACGGAGGAUGCAAGCGUUAUCCGGAAUGAUUGGGCGUAAAGGGUCUGUAGGUGGUUGUUCAAGUCUGCUGUUAAAGCGUCUGGCUUAACCAGAUAAAGGCGGUGGAAACUGAACGACUAGAGUGCGGUAGGGGUAGAGGGAAUUCCCAGUGUAGCGGUGAAAUGCGUAGAUCUUGGGAAGAACACCUGUGGCGAAAGCGCUCUACUGGACCGCGACUGACACUGAUGGACGAAAGCUAGGGGAGCGAAUGGGAUUAGAUACCCUAGUAGUCC